rnacentral:rRNA from 1 species
GACGAACGCUGGCGGCGUGCUUAACACAUGCAAGUCGAACGGUGAAGCGCCUUCCUUUUUGGUGGGUGUGGAUGAGUGGCGGACGGGUGAGUAACACGUGAGUAACCUGCCCCCUUCUUCUGGAUAACCGCAUGAAAGUGUGGCUAAUACGGGAUAUUCUGGGUCUGUCGCAUGAUGGGUCUGGGAAAGAUAUUGUUUCGGUGGGGGAUGGGCUCGCGGCCUAUCAGCUUGUGGGUGGGGUGAUGGCCUACCAAGGCGGUGACGGGUAGCCGGCCUGAGAGGGUGGACCGCCACACUGGGACUGAGACACGGGCCAGACUCCUACGGGAGGCAGCAGUGUGGAAUAUUGCACAAUGGGCGCAAGCCUGAUGCAGCGACGCCGCGUGAGGGAUGGAGGCCUGCGGGUUGUGAACCUCUUUCGCUAGUGAAGCAGGACUGCCUCGUUUGUGGGUGGGUUGACGGUAGCUGGAGAAGAAGCGCCGGCUAACUACGUG